rnacentral:rRNA from 1 species
GACGAACCUUGCUAACGUUAUUCGGAUUCACUGGGCGUAAAGGGUGCGCAGGCGGCCGUGUGUGUCAGGUGUGAAAGCCCGGAGCUUAACUCCGGAAUUGCGCCUGAAACUACAUGGCUAGAGCAUUGGAGAGGGUAGCGGAAUUCACGGUGUAGCAGUGAAAUGCGUAGAUAUCGUGAGGAACACCAGAGGCGAAGGCGGCUACCUGGACAAUUGCUGACGCUCAGGCACGAAAGCGUGGGGAGCAAAAGGG